rnacentral:rRNA from 1 species
UACGGAGGGUGCGAGCGUUGUCCGGAUUUAUUGGGCGUAAAGGGCUCGUAGGCGGUCCGUCACGUCGGGAGUGAAAACUCGGGGCUCAACCCCGAGCCUGCUUUCGAUACGGGCGGACUAGAGGUAGGUAGGGGAGAACGGAAUUCCUGGUGUAGCGGUGGAAUGCGCAGAUAUCAGGAGGAACACCGGUGGCGAAGGCGGUUCUCUGGGCCUUACCUGACGCUGAGGAGCGAAAGCGUGGGGAGCGAACAGG